rnacentral:rRNA from 1 species
AUUGAACGCUGGCGGCAUGCCUUACACAUGCAAGUCGAGCGGUAACGGGCCUUCGGGUGCCGACGAGUGGCGAACGGGUGAGUAAUACAUCGGAACGUGCCCGAUCGUGGGGGAUAACGAGGCGAAAGCUUUGCUAAUACCGCAUACGAUCUACGGAUGAAAGCAGGGGACCGCAAGGCCUUGCGCGGACGGAGCGGCCGAUGGCAGAUUAGGUAGUUGGUGGGAUAAAAGCUUACCAAGCCGACGAUCUGUAGCUGGUCUGAGAGGAUGAUCAGCCACACUGGGACUGAGACACGGCCCAGACUCCUACGGGAGGCAGCAGUGGGGAAUUUUGGACAAUGGGCGCAAGCCUGAUCCAGCCAUGCCGCGUGCAGGAUGAAGGCCUUCGGGUUGUAAACUGCUUUUGUACGGAACGAAAAGCCUUCUUUUAAUACAGGAGGGUCAUGACGGUACCGUAAGAAUAAGCACCGGCUAACUAUGUG